rnacentral:lncRNA from 1 species
GGGAGUAAGAUUUUUGAAUAAGUGCCUGAGGAAUACAUUUCUUUUUCUGGAUACGGUUUUGAACAAUCAGACGUGUGAAAAAAAGGAGGAUUGGAAUAUGCUUUUGACUGAAUCCUUUUUACCUUUUUGUCACGCACAUAGCCUCCCUUUUCAAGUUACCAAUUUUGUUUUUGAAUUCAUUUGGUUUAGCUUUAUCAAUUAUGACAUGAAUACGAAUUCAAAAAAUAGAAUAUUUAUCCAUCAAUCAUCAUUGGAUAUGUAGAUUCCUUUUUUCUUUUAGUGUUUUCUGAUUUACUUUUCACUGUGUCGCCUUUUUUAUUCAAAUGUAGAUCUUCUGAGUAACAUUAAUUUUGUAACUCACUUUUCAUUGAUAUAGAUUAUGUUUAAGGAUAUUGAAUAUACCAAAAGUGCAUAGACAAGUAAAAGUUUGCAAACUUUUCUCUGCUCCCUCACCGAACCUGUGAGCUUUUAUCUUUUGGGUUCGUUGUUUUUUUUUUUUUUUUUUUGAUCGGGCAAAGUCAUGUUAGAUGUUAGUAGUUAGUUCCCCCAUCCACUCCAAGAACCACCUUAUCUCUCCAUUCACCAAAAUCCACCUUAUAUCUCCCCAAUCUCCAAUUCGCUCCCAAGAGGGAUCGAACCCGGGUCACUUCACUUAAGUGAGGACCCGGUGGCCAGUGGGCUAAGCCCCCUGGUUUUUUGGGUUCGUUGUUAAAACUCAUGUAGGAUGGUUAUGAACUUCUUAACAGAUUUUGAUGUAGAUGCCGCUUAAAAGAGUGAAUUAUGGUACCUAUUGGACUGUAGGCUCUGCUUCACUUUGUCCCGUUUACUUUUCUUUUGUGCUCUACAACAUAUCAUGUUCAAAUUGGUUACACUCAAGUCACAUGCUAUUAUAGUUUUCAGCAGUGGAAAAUUUUCUUCUUGGUUACUAGGUUUCUAACUGGAUCUUUUUUGUUUUGGCUUAAACAGGAUUAUGUCCCAACUGUUUUUGAUAAUUUCAGUGCCAAUGUCGUAGUGGACGGUAGCACUGUUAAUCUAGGAUUGUGGGAUACUGCAGGUAAAUUAAUAUUCCCGUGCAUACUUUCUAAUUCAUCUUUCAAAAACUACAGAACAGGCAGUCACACUUUAUUCUACAGGCCAAGAGGAUUACAAUAGAUUGAGACCAUUGAGCUACCGUGGGGCUGAUGUCUUUAUUCUCGCCUUCUCCCUUAUUAGCAAGGCUAGUUACGAGAAUGUCUCCAAGAAGGUGAGCCUUCAAUUUACCUUAGUGGGGUGAGAAUCCUAACCUCUUCAUAGCUUUUGGUUUCUCGGAUAACAGGUUAUUAAAAGGGGAGGAAAGUGAAUUGAGAAAUCAAGAGUAAUUUUAUUCUAUUUUGCUUCUCUUCAUUGGGGAUCAAAAUUUCCUAGCACUUCGUAAACCUUUUAGGGAUCGUUUGGUUUGAUGGAUGGGAUAGAUAAGAUUGAUAGAAUUGGAGAGUGAUUAAAUAAUCCACCAACUUCGGGGUACUAAAUAAUCACUCAAUUGCAUGAUUAGAGUGUGAGUGAGCCUAGUUAUCCAUCACGUGCCCAAUCAUGCAAACCAAACACUUGAUUAAGUUGGAUUAUUUAUCAAUCAUGCCUUAUCACUCAAACCAAACACCUCCUUAAUAGCUUUUGGUUCUUUUCUGGNAAAAUAAAAUCUCCACUAGUUUUACUUCCAAUUUUAUUAUAUACUAGUAGUACUAAAUUAAAUUCUGCUCCAAAUCCUUUCCUUCACAUGAAAAUACAUGUGAAAUUUAAUGUGCAUUCAAUUUUGGCAAAAUUAUUGAACACUUGAAAAGCAAGCAAAAUUUCCGAAAAAAGAAAAAGUUUUUUGUGUGUUGGCAAAUGAUAGGAUGACCUCAAGUAGCACCUGGAGUUAUAUGCUAUGCUAUAGCUGUCUCGUAGCUGGCUCCCUCACAUUACUAUUUUAAAAACUCCAUCCUCGCUUGCAUUCUCUCUCUCUCUCUCUGCGCGGAAAUCAUCACCUCUCUCUCACACCUGCUAUGCUAAUGUGCUUUCUCUCUCUAGUUCGUCUGUAUGUCUCCCCUCUUCUCUCAUUUGCUGCGUUGUUUCUGAUUUGAUUGACAGUGAAUGUGGCUGUUGUCUGCUUGGUGAUCGUACUAUAGUUAGGGUUUAAUUUUGAGGUUAGGGUUUUGAUUCCGUGUUAUUGGAGAUUUCUAACUGUUUUCCUCCUAAUUCUUUUUGCAGUUAAGCAGUUCAUCGGGUGCUAACCGGUGCUGCAGAGGAUUGCUAGUUGGAGUUGCGUACUUGGGGGAUUGAAGAAAUUCAAGUUGAGAUAAUUGUUCGCCGGUUUGGGGGGGACUUGCCGCCGGCGAGAUGAGCGCGUCUAGAUUUAUUAAGUGCGUGACCGUGGGCGACGGAGCUGUGGGUAAAACUUGCUUGCUCAUCUCUUACACUAGCAAUACUUUUCCAACUGUAAGUUUUAUUCUCCAACUCUUUUGAUUUUUGGCUGUUCUUUAAUUUACAUUUUCUGUUGCAUCGUAACUUUUUGUUAAUUGUUGAGCUUAUUUCAAUUCGGGUAAGAGCAGGUAAUGUUGAUGUUAAUAUUGUUCAAGCUUUUGUAGUCAAUGUAGUUCUGGCAUGGUUGGGAAACAAUGAUUUUUUUCCCUUGCGUCUUCGAGCAUUCUAAUAUUGAUAGGAAUUUGGUGGCAUGGACUGUUGGACUGUAAUAAUUUGGAGCUUCUAGUUUUCAUUCUGUUCUGGUAGUAUAAGUUUAGGCUCGGGGGUGGAGGUGGGAGUAAGAUUUUUGAAUAAGUGCCUGAGGAAUACAUUUCUUUUUCUGGAUACGGUUUUGAACAAUCAGACGUGUGAAAAAAAGGAGGAUUGGAAUAUGCUUUUGACUGAAUCCUUUUUACCUUUUUGUCACGCACAUAGCCUCCCUUUUCAAGUUACCAAUUUUGUUUUUGAAUUCAUUUGGUUUAGCUUUAUCAAUUAUGACAUGAAUACGAAUUCAAAAAAUAGAAUAUUUAUCCAUCAAUCAUC